CUUCAUAUUUUAGCGACCAUGAAGGUAUUUACUGCAGCUUUAAAAUUUGUGAUUAAUCAUGUACACUGCUGUUUUUGAUAUUAUUAAUGCUUUUCAUAGAAAAGUAGAUUUGAGAGUGUUUUAGCAGGUUCCCAAACAGCUGGCAGAUGGAUCAAUUUACAACUCCUGGACAAACCAUGAUGUCAAGGCGAGUGACCACUUCAGAACAUCGUAAGUAAUGAUUUGGAUGGACAUUUAUAAUGAUUGUAUGCAAACUAACAUGUGAUAACCUCUCCACUUCAUUUACACUUGCAAUUAUUCUGAACAUCACAACUUGACUACAAAGAAUGAAAACAUUAGCAAUGUGCCUAGUUACUGUUUCUCCAAUAUGAUGACUUCUUCAUUUGUCAGCAUGUAACUGAUGUGAUCUCUCCUCUCCUCAAUGUUUCAACAAAUAUACCAUACAUCUUAUGAUUGCUCCAGCUGAAGACUGACCAGCCCAUCAUUACUCCACCUUUGGUGAGAUGAGACCCUGAUGGAUUACUGAAACAAUAAUCAAUUGGUAAGUGUGACUUUCAAUUUAUACUUAACUAUUUUCAUUCAUAAACUAUACUACUUGUGUAAGCACGCAAUGUGUCUCUUCCUCAGAAAGGAUGCAUACAAAAGUGGUAUAUGAUUGUAAUUACAAUGAAUUCUAACUGUGUGAUUAUGUAACUGAUGUGUCAUGUCUUCACAACAUGUAACCACGUAUUUAUCCCAUGACAACACCAUCACAGGAGAUAUCAGCCACUGCCAACUCCAGCCAGAAACUAAUGCAUGCUAAGCAGGUGUGUUAUAACUAUAUGUUGAUUGAUUCUCAUUAUGUGAACAUGUAACUAAUAUAUUGUCUCUUCUUUACAGCCUGUGACCAACCACUCAACCCAUGUAGCAAUCAAGACAACCCUGGAUGUGAAACCCACACAUUCCUCACAGGAAAGUUUCCUUAUCUGGCCCCAGGAAACAGGAUAUAAAUCUUUCCAGACUCGUUUACACUUCAGGUUACCUAAAUGACCCAACCGGAGGCUGACUAAACCUCUGACUCUUCAUGAUUGGUCAAUUCGGAGAACAGAGACAGAGUUUUUAUUACCUUUCAAACUGACUCCAUCGCUGACCAUCUAAAUAAACAUUGACGUCUCA